rnacentral:misc_RNA from 1 species
UCCGUGUUAACCACGGCAGUCCCUCUAGAGUGCCCAACUUAAUGAUGGCAACUAACAGCGAGGGUUGCGCUCGUUGCGGGACUUAACCCAACAUCUCACGACACGAGCUGACGACAGCCAUGCAGCACCUUGCUUUGGGUCUUUGCAGACUGACCCAUUUCUGAGUCAUUCCCUCGCAUUCUAGCCCAGGUAAGGUUCCUCGCGUAUCAUCGAAUUAAACCACAUGCUCCGCCGCUUGUGCGGACCCCCGUCAAUUCCUUUGAGUUUCACCCUUGCGGGCGUACUCCCCAGGUGGAUUACUUAUCGGUUUCCCUUGGACGCUAACAGUGUAUCGCUAACAUCGAGUAAUCAUCGUUUACAGCGUGGACUAC